rnacentral:lncRNA from 1 species
CUUGAAGAGGCUUUUGGGGCUCCCGCCCCACCUUCUCUCUUUUUAACUUCCUGGUCACCAUGAGGUGACAGCUAUCUAAGCUUGGUGCUCCUGCAUCUACCGAUACGUGGAUACCCCUACAGAUAAACACAGAUAUGAUAAUUCUGUGAAGAAAAUACUGCUUUCCUGCACUGAACUGAAUGACAAUAACCAUGGUUUUAAAUUUCAACUACCUGACACACCCUUCCAGCAAGGAGCUAGUGCUGCUGAAAUGUGUGCUGUUUUAUACCGUUUGCAGACACAAGAAAGCCCUGGCUGUGUGACAGGCUCCUCAGGAGGCACAGCGUCAGCCAGCACCAGAUCUUGGAAAUCCGAGCUUCCACAACUGGAGCUGCAAGCUUCAAACUACUGCUGACUUCUAAUUAGGUUUGGCUGCAGAAGGCAUUGGUAUUUAUGGGGCGUCUGAGACCUUAUCUCAGACAGUUCAUGGUCUCCAACCUGGAUCCGGCUGUCUCCACAGCAGAUGCAGCAAUUGAUUCAAGGUCCUUCAGAGGUUCCAGCAAAUGUAGGACAGAGCUCUCCCUCGGUUCUAGUCCUAUUUCUGGGUGUCCCUUCGAAGUCUCUGGACCUCUUUCCACCAAGAGUCCUCGGACCAACUGUGCAGCAGCUUCACUGGUCCAAUACCUACUGUGUGAAGUGUCCGUGAGGAUCCAAGCCCUUCCUCAUGAUGCUCCCUUGGUGGAGUUACCACCUCCCUGGCUGAGAUUUGGAGCUCUGAUCACAACUGCCCCAAUUUUGCAUUCUUGCAGCCUGAGAGAGAGCAGCUGCUUGCUGUGUUAAUAACGUUGGUAUUAUUUCACCGUCCCCAUUGCUCUCCCUGCCUUUCUUGCAUUUUAAUGAACACCC